UGACCUUUUGACCUCAAAUCAGGUAGGACUACCCGCUGAACUUAAGCAUAUCAAUAA
rnacentral:rRNA from 1 species